rnacentral:rRNA from 1 species
AACGUACGCUGGCGGCACGCCUAAUACAUGCAAGUCGAACGAAGUAGCAAUACUUAGUGGCAGACGGGUGAGUAACAUGUAGGUAUCUUCCCAUUGGUGAGGAAUAACACGAGGAAACUUGUGCUAAUACCUCAUAAGUCUUUACGGAGAAAGCUUUAUGCGCCGAUGGAUGAGCCUGCACUUGAUUAGCUUGUUGGUGAGGUAAAGGCUCACCAAGGCGACGAUCUUUAGCUGGUCUGAGAGGACGAUCAGCCACAUUGGGACUGAGACACGGCCCAGACUCCUACGGGAGGCAGCAGUGGGGAAUAUUGGACAAUGGGCGCAAGCCUGAUCCAGCCAUACCGCGUGUGUGAAGAAGGCCUUCGGGUUGUAAAGCACUUUCACUGGUGAAGAUGAUGACGGUAACCAGAGAAGAAGCCCCGGCUAACUUCG